rnacentral:rRNA from 1 species
UACGUAGGGGGCGAGCGUUGUCCGGAUUCAUUGGGCGUAAAGCGCUUUAAGGCGGUUCGCUAAGUCGCGUGUGAAACCUCCAGGCUCAACCUGGAGACGCCACGCGAUACUGGCGUGACUAGAGUUCGGUAGGGGAUCACGGAAUUCCUGGUGUAGCGGUGAAAUGCGCAGAUAUCAGGAGGAACACCGGUGGCGAAGGCGCCACUCUGGGCCGAAACUGACGCUGAGGAGCGAAAGCGUGGGUAGCAAACAGG